rnacentral:rRNA from 1 species
GAUGAACGCUGGCGGCGUGCCUAAUACAUGCAAGUCGAGCGAAUGGAUUAAGAGCUUGCUCUUAUGAAGUUAGCGGCGGACGGGUGAGUAACACGUGGGUAACCUGCCCAUAAGACUGGGAUAACUCCGGGAAACCGGGGCUAAUACCGGAUAACAUUUUGAACCGCAUGGUUCGAAAUUGAAAGGCGGCUUCGGCUGUCACUUAUGGAUGGACCCGCGUCGCAUUAGCUAGUUGGCGAGGUAGCGGCUCACCAAGGCAACGAUGCGUAGCCGACCUGAGAGGGUGAUCGGCCACACUGGGACUGAGACCCGGCCCAGACUCCUACGGGAGGCAGCAGUAGGGAAUCUUCCGCAAUGGACGAAAGUCUGACGGAGCAACGCCGCGUGAGUGAUGAAGGCUUUCGGGUCGUAAAACUCUGUUGUUAGGGAAGAACAAGUGCUAGUUGAAUAAGCUGGCACCUUGACGGUACCUAACCAGAAAGCCACGGCUAACUACGUGCCAGCCGCCGCAGUAA